CCUACGGGUGGCAGCAGUGAGGAAUAUUGGUCAAUGGUCGGGAGACUGAACCAGCCAAGCCGCGUGAGGGAUGAAGGUACAGAGUAUUGUAAACCUCUUUUGUCAGGGAACAAAGGCGGGGACGUGUCCCCGGAUGAGCGUACCUGAAGAAAAAGCAUCGGCUAACUCCGUGCCAGCAGCCGCGGUAAUACGGAGGAUGCGAGCGUUCUCCGGAUUUAUUGGGUUUAAAGGGUGGGCAGUGGGCCCGUUAAGUGAACGGUGUAAGCCCGGGGCUUAACCCCGGAACGCAGGUUGAAACUGGCAUUCUCGAGUUGAGGAGAAGUAAGCGGAAUGCGCGGUGUAGCGGUGAAAUGCAUAGAUA
rnacentral:rRNA from 1 species